AACGAACGCUGGCGGCAGGCUUAACACAUGCAAGUCGAGCGAGACCUUCGGGUCUAGCGGCGGACGGGUGAGUAACGCGUGGGAACGUGCCCUUCUCUACGGAAUAGCCCCGGGAAACUGGGAGUAAUACCGUAUACGCCCUUUGGGGGAAAGAUUUAUCGGAGAAGGAUCGGCCCGCGUUGGAUUAGGUAGUUGGUGGGGUAAUGGCCCACCAAGCCGACGAUCCAUAGCUGGUUUGAGAGGAUGAUCAGCCACACUGGGACUGAGACACGGCCCAGACUCCUACGGGAGGCAGCAGUGGGGAAUCUUAGACAAUGGGGGCAACCCUGAUCUAGCCAUGCCGCGUGAGUGAUGAAGGCCGUAGGGUUGUAAAGCUCUUUCAGCUGGGAAGAUAAUGACGGUACCAGCAGAAGAAGCCCCGGCUAACUCCGUG
rnacentral:rRNA from 1 species